UUUUUUUUUUUUUUUUUUUAGUAAGUGUGUAGAUUGACAUUGUGCAACUGAUUUUGUUUUCAGAGAUUACUUUGGUUUAAAAAUAAAUAGAAAGGAUUAUAUUUCCAGGAACUAUUUCGUUCAAAAUAGCAAAUUUCACAGAUGAUUUAUUCCAUAAUGAUAAUGCAUCUCCUGAUGUUUAUUAAAUUAAGGAACUUGAUAACCAGGAAACUAGUACCAAAAACGUGUCCUUAAACAUUUGGUCAAUAGCUAAUAAUUCUUUUAAAGUUUAAAGUAGAUGUUCAUUCUGUAUUCAGGAGAAGUUAUAAAUUUAAAAAUCCUUCCCAAUGAAUUUUUUCAUUAUAGAAUAACCCUGUUUACAUUGAGCCAGGCAAAAUACGUACUAUCGAGCAAAGGAAAACCACUUGAAUGUAUCGAGAAUAAAAUCUGUAUCAACAAGGAACUCAAUUCUCUGAUAAGGAGGAUUGGAUACCCAGCACAAGUAAACCUUUGGAGGAAUUUUCUGUGGAGUGAAGAUAGAGGAUAGAUCAGAAUUCUAACCUCCACCCCAAGGGAUAUAACAGUUCUGCACAUGGCAGAAAGUCAAAACUGGCAGCUGCGUGUUCCAGUUCUGCAAUUCUCUGCAGGAAAUGGGCAUCUGCCCCAUUUUCAAAAAAGAUUGAGACUAGAGGAAAAAGGAAGAUUUUUGUUCUUCAUUAGCUCAACAAAAUAUGCGUUCUAUAAUUUUUUCUUUCAUUUGAUGUGAACUUUUCAAAGUGAUAUAUAGACUCAGAUUUAAAUAAAAGAAUCAUAUUUUAAAUGCUCUUGAAAAAGCUUAUAAUUUGAAGAACAAAACUGUAAGAAAUUUAAGUAGGGAGAAAAUGGAGAAAAUCACAUUUUGCACACUUUCCUUUAGGUAACUCAAAUUCAGUAUUUGGUUAAGGAUAGAUCAGUGGAAGGCUACUUCAGCUUAUAUCAUUGACUUUUUUUUCAAGUUAUUACAAGAAAUAUCAUAUGUAAAUAACUUUUCUACUUUUGAAAACACUAUCCAUGUAGCUUCAUAUUCCAAAUGACUUUUUGUUUUUUUAAGUAAGUGCUGGGGGAAAAAAAAGCUACUGAUAAAUCUUGCCAAGUGGAGGCCAAUAUAGCAACUAAAUUAGUCAUUGUGGUUAAUAUAUUUGGUCUCUAUAACCUCAUUUUAACUUCCAUGUUUGUGCCUUGUGUAUAUGUUCCUUUUAAAGGUGUUUUUGAAAAUUUCUGGAAAUAGAUAUGAUUUUUUUUAAAAGAAUAAAGUACUCCAUGAUAGAAUAUAAUAAUUCUUUCCAUAAUGUGAAAGAAGUAUUCAAGUUAGGUCUUAAUACCUAUUUUUUAACAUGUUAAAUUAAGUUCAAGUAUCCAUGUAUUUAACAUUCAGGGAGCAGAGUCAACUUCAUUGAACAUACACUGUGUUAGAGUCAAAAGAUUUUGACUGUAUCCAACAUUGGUAAAAAGUAAAUUUCUAUUUUACAAAGUAAGUUUGUUCCCACUGACAUUUUGUACUUUCAUAAUUUAUAAGAUAUUCUUGUUAUUUAAUAGAUCCCUCCAGCUUUCUCUGAGGUAGCACCUCAAUUUAUUUCCCUGACACUUACAGAUUGAUGACCUGAUCCAUGAGUAGAAAAGCAAGGGGGAGAAAAGCAACUGAUUGACAGUAGCCAAGACUGCCAUAUUUCAAGAGAUGAAAGAGCCAGGAUUAUAGUCUGCAGUUAUAUGCCUCUUUCUGCUCAAAAUAUGGGGUGGGAUGACAUGGCAGAGGCUGUGGCCCUUAUCAACUAGGUGGAACUCUUUAGCCAAUCAGCUUGAAAUCCCUAAGGGCUUUAGAAAGCUGUGUCAAAUAUCUACUUUAUAACAUGAAUGGUAACUAAGGAAAAUUAAAUGCAUUUUUUGGGAAGAUGAACAAAGCAUCAUGUUUUGUCUUUAUUUUUUUUUUUUUUUUUUUUUAAAGAUUUUAUUUUUUAAUUCUUAUUUAUUUAUGAUAGUCACAGAGAGAGAGAGAGAGAGGCAGAGACAUAGGCAGAGGGAGAAGCAGGCUCCAUGCACCGGGAGCCCGACGUGGGAUUCGAUCCCGGGUCUCCAGGAUCGCGCCCUAGGCCAAAGGCAGGCGCCAAACCGCUGCGCCACCCAGGGAUCCCUCAUGUUUUGUCUUUAAUUCAGUUUAUGCUGGUUCAUGAUAUAGCAGUCACGAUAGGGUUUGGGGCAACAGUUGAAAACUUGAUCCUGCCCUGGUUACACUGGCCUUUCAGUCUGGAUAAUUUUAUUUCAGGUGAUAUGUGGGAGUGAAGAAAACAAAACAAGACAGAGAAGAACAGUAACUGUAGCAGUAUGCUCAGGCUGCAAUAACAAAACACCGUAGCCUGGGGUGGCUCC
rnacentral:lncRNA from 1 species